CGCGCACACUCGGCCCCCCGCGGCCGGACCCACACGGGUGGCGCGAGAAGCCCGCGGGCCGAGGGGACCCCGCCUCCGGGCCGGCUGGGCGCGGGGCGACGGGGAGCGCACCCCGACUUCCGUGGAUCACAUGGGCUGCGGGGGGCGGGUGGAUCGGGGGAGGGGAGGCGCGAGGAGCUUGCUGCGGCUCCUCACCCGGACCGGGGUGAAGACGCCCCCCCACCCUCUCUAGUUCGCCCUCUCUAUUCAAGUUUGCCGGCCCCUGCCGCCGAGAUCCGGGGAUGGCACCAGCCGCCCGCCCUGCGCUGCGCCCUGUUUCCAGCCGCCGCUCAGAAAUUUAGGUCAAGGACGUCGGGAGCAAACCCACACCCCGGCGCUACUCUGGCGGCCCCCGAGACCCUCCAGGAUCGAGGGACUUCAGGAUGGCGGAGACCCUCCUGCACAAACACCAGCCACAAGUUUUAUUUUCCUUUUGCGCUGGAAGUUCUGUCUGGCUCUCGCUCCACACCGGCACGUCUUGCGCGGCUCCCCGCCCUUCCCCAGUAGAGCCUUUGUAUGCCAGGAUAAUAAAAUGCAUGAGACUGAAAUAGCCCAAGACCCCUCACGAACUGCGGAGGUAGCUGGGGUGGCAGAAGGCUACACAAUCACUCCCACCUUAGGAGCAGCCGUAUUGUACAGCACGGCUCUGGCAUACAGUAGGUGCUUAAUAAAUGCUGGUUUCAUACCUUUGUGCACUGAAAACUCCAAAAAGACGAUUUCUGUAGCUUUCCAAAGACAUCGCACAUUUCUCCAGAAGAUUCCAGGCUGGCCAAAUUCCGGCUGGUUUCAAUUUAUAAACAAUAUGGAUACAAUUAUCCGAAUUGUUUUAAAUUAUUGCAAUAAACUUAGUUAAUAUGGCAUGAGGGGUAACAUACAGUUGUGGUUCAUCAGAUACUGAGAUUAAUGUCAGGCAUGAAUUGAUGCCCAAAUAACACUUUUUCAUUAAUUUUCAUAGGAUUGGGAGACAAAGAAAUACACUCAACACCAAAACUGAACCAAAUCCACUGUGAGUUUUGGAAAAAUGGAAUAUUUGGAAAAUCUGAACACCAGCCGUAGACUUUAGUGACCAGGCUCUCAAUCUCCCUGUUCCCUAAAUUGCAGUAAUUCCUCCUUGACAGGAUUGAUGGGGUGAAGGCGAGAGAGGCUGAAGUGAACCAAUGUUGUAAAAGUUCCUUUUUCACUGUAAACCUGAGUCGUGUUUAUCAUCAAUUACUACCCAAUAUAAUCAUAUCGAGAAGGUGCUCUAAGGCUUUAAACUUCAAACCCUCACAUUUCCUGUCACUCCAAGCUCCUUCCCAAAUCAUCUGGGGUCUCAAAUGUGGAAUAGUUAGUUGUUUUGAUGAUUGUUUAUUAUGAGUGAUUAUUCUCAACAAAAUGCAGACAACAGAGCUAAUUGUGUUUGGAAUUUUUACGGUAGAACCAUAGGUCAUCCUAGGUAGAAAGGCCUCUCCUAAUCUAAUCCCCUCAUUUUACAUCAGGGUCUCAGGUACCAAACUCACCAGGCUACACCCCACCCCGACCUUCUGGCCAUCAGUCCAGUGCCAUUUGGCCUCUGCUGCCUACAUGUUCAUUCUGUCCCUCGAAAGGCAAGAGUUGGGGGCCCUUCUUCUCUGGCAUAGACCUCCACAGGCUGACACUUACAGAACUGAUUUAAAAUCUAGAGAGGGGCUAGUGCUGCAGUUACAAAGUCAGUGGCUGAGAAAGAACUAGAUUGUAAGUCUCCAUUACUACAUUGUUUUUACUCAUUUAAUUUAUGUGCAGUAACAUUUACUCUUUUUGGACUGUAAUUCUGUGAGUUUUUGACAUGCAUAGAGUCAUGUAACCACCACCAUAAUCAAGAUGCAGAACAAUUUUAUUGUCCAAAAAAUAUUCCUUCUUGCUGCCCUUUUGCAUUACAUUAUUUGUAAUAGCUCAUUAUUAUUAUUAUUUUAUGCAUUUUUUUUCUCCAGUUCACUCAAUGUAGCCCCUGCAUCAGGUGAAUCCAAGCAGCACGGUAUCACUCCUCAACGCUCUUAAAGUCUCGACAGCCCAAGACCAUGUUGGACAAUUCCUUCUUCAAACUCAAUCUUCCAGGAUGGGUUUAAACACGUGUUGAUGCCACUCAAAUUGAAAUCUCCAGCCCCAUCCUUCCUGAAGAGUUCCAGGCUCUGGCCAAUUUCCUAUUCAACAUCUCCACUUAGCCUCUCUAAAAGCAGCCCGAGCUCAAAUCCGUCUUUCUUGCUACUGCAUCCCAGAUCUCCCACCUGAGGCCCUACAGCAGCCUACAAAAGCCUCCCCACAUGCACCCUUACUCCACUUAUGUGCCUGGAAAUCUUUCCCAGACCUCUGUGACAGGGUCGAAUGCCCCUUGAUACGCUGUUACCCUACCAGAACAUACUCUGUGUACUUACCCUGUAUGAUCAUUUGCUUUAUUGCGCAUCUCUUCUAAGCCAUAAGCUCCUGGACCUUUCUGCUCUACAGGUACCAGCACACUGUCUGCUCGCCCAUGGCUGAUGCUCAAUAAUGACUGAAUGAAUGAAUGAGUGGGUGGAUGAAUGAA